AAGCAUUGUUUCUUAAUCUGAGUAUAUCAAUAUUACCUUGUUCAGAACUUAAAGAGAAAUCUUGAGUUUAUGGACUUCAGGGGGAGUAUGGUCACAAGGCUGAAACUUAAAGGAAUUGACGGAAGGGCACACCAGGAGUGGAGCCUGCGGCUUAAUUUGACUCAACACGGGAAAACUUACCAAGACCGAACAGUAGAAGGAAUGACAGAUUAAGAGUUCUUUCAUGAUUUAUUGGGUAGUGGUGCAUGGCCGUUCUUAGUUGGUGGAGUGAUUUGUCAGGUUAAUUCCGGUAACGAACGAGACUGAAACCUAUUAAUUAGUUUUCUGCCUAUAAGACAGAAAUGUUCGCAAGAACAGGUGCGUAAGUACCACUUCUUAAAGGGACACAUUUCAAUUGUCCUAAUUUAAUUGUAGUUAU
rnacentral:rRNA from 1 species